rnacentral:lncRNA from 1 species
AAUAACGAUAUUCGCAUCUCAUUAUUACUUACGACUGCGGAUCAUUUCAUUGUAUUACCUUUUAAAUGAGAUGAUACCGCCAUAACAUGUGCUUAGAUAAUUGAUUAGACUUUAGUUCCUUUACUUGCACAAUGGCUCCAUUAUUAUCAUAAUGUAGAGGCAUGUGAUCAACAAUGUUAGAAACUACUCCAAGUAUAUUAAUGAACUUCG